UUUUCCGUUUAAAUUGAUUUU
rnacentral:piRNA from 1 species